ensembl:lncRNA
AUGAACCAAGUGAAGCGUUUCAUUCUGCUCAUCCUCUCGCUGGCGACAGGCUGUGAGGUCGGGUCUGAAGUGACAGGAUGCGCAAACCGAUGGGCUCAAUUCUCCUGGAAAUAUACUAAACCAGACAAACUCAAAGAAAUCAAGAUUCCGUCCAAAUCAAUCAAAAUCACAUGCAAUAACGCAAUAAAAGGCAGAUGUCAUUGUUACCAUGAUACAAAGAGUGCAACAGUAUGGUUGGUUAUCAAAGAACUUAGACAGAACGAUGCUGGUGAAUACAGCUGUAUAUUGGACAAAGGACGAACUGAGUCAGUGAAACUGGAAUUAAAUGGUAAGAGACAGUAUGUUACAUUCAUUACAGAAAUGGAUCCGACAGGUGGAACCAAGGAUCCAACGGGUGGAUCCUUCUCCGACUCAACCUAUGUCAGGAUUCAUUGCGCACCGGUGACGAAACCUUCGGGCAACUGCUGCUCCGUUGCUAGGCGACAGCAGUAGGGGUGGAACACGCUGGUGACGGCCAACUGGAAAUCCGCUCUGCACCACACCGUCUCAUUUUGGUUUGGCCGUGGUGGACGGAGGCCUCGUAGGCUACGUCCUCGGAAGGAGGCGACCCCUGACCGGGGACACAACACAAGUGUUGUCUGUGUGAAUGUGACGAGGUUUUAUCAAAUUAAACGGUGGCGUCACAUUCAAGGCAACAGUACGAGUCAUUACACAAUGAAUAAAUGUUCACCUUUACCAUCUUUUACCUUUCCUUUCUUAACUGCAGAGAAAACUACCUGCCAGAAAGCGCUUGAUCGAACUGCGUAUGCAACGGCUAAAACCACCAUCGCGUGCGAGUACCCAGACAACGAUCGGUCCAGUGUCAAGUUUUUCUGCAAAAAGGAAAAUGGAAUCUGUGAGGAAAUUGUAUCAACGCGAUCUUCUCAGAAGUCAAAGGGGAAGUUCACGCUCUCGAUCACUGGAAGAGGCUUCGACGUGUCCAUCAGCAACAUGUCCUCGCAGGACAAUGGCGUCUACUGGUGUGGAUUCAAAAUCGGCAAUGACACAAGUCCAGGUGUUGGUCUGCGAAAAAUUAUACUGAAGGUUCAAAGUGAGUUUUUAACAUGUGCUGCCUCCAAGAUUCCAUCACACACACACACAUUACUACGUGUUUUUUGAGUUUGUCUUUGUCCAUCUACAGAUGCCACUUACUUCACAAGAUCCCCAAAGGCCGGAGAGAAUCUCACAUAUUGGUGUAUUUACAAGAAAGUUUCUCCGGAUAAUAUUUUCAUUUGUAAGGGAGAGGAUCCAUCGAUAUGUCAAACUCUAGUAAACACGACAAAGCCCAACGUCGGGAAGUUUUCCAUGACGGUUGACAAGCGGCAGAAGAAGAUCUUUGUAACGGUGAGAGGUCUGACGGCGGGUGACAGCGGGGCGUACUGGUGUGGAGCGGGCGCGACUGACCGAGGACGCAGCCGACAGUUCUUCAACAGACUCAUCUUGACUGUGGGUGAGUCACGAUAUGACCUGACCCUGCUUCAGUGGGAAGGGGUUGGUCCAUAUCCAAGUACGCAUGUACAGAUUCAUGUACAGACGUACACACACGUUUACAAAUCUUACUACGCACUUUCUGAAUACACAUUUGCAGAUUCCUGUAUGCAUUUGUUUUCUCAGUGCACUUUUGCGUAUUCGUUUCCAGACACUGAUCCGACUACGCACACGCAACAUUGGCCCCACGCAGGCGAUGUUGAGACGAGUCGUGAGUUCGUUUUGUCUUUACUGACACCACUGAGCAGUUAACACUCAAGUUCACAACUUCCUCCAGACUAGAAACAAUAACUGUAACCGUCACCACAGGCUUCAUGUGACCUGAAAAAGAUUCAGUGCCGAACAAGGACAGUCACUGUUCCUCAUUUUUACAAAUGGGAUGACAAUUUAUUACUAUCGUCACUAUCAUUUUGCUCUCAGGGUUUAUUUGUCUUGAAGAUCGUUUUUCCUGGUUUUGCCAAAAUUGAUUAAAAAUGUUUUCCUUUUGAUGAGACGAUGUUAAUCUCCCCGUGUCCUCAUGUCCAGGUCCUUCAGACCACGUGACUCCUGCACCAGAUGAGAGUCGCGGUGAGUUUCACAUCUGAAACCUUCUGCUGCUACAUGGUUGUUGAACUCAGCUCUGGCGACAGAGACUCGUGUUGACGGAGUGUUUUCUUGUUGCCAUGUUCCGUCUUUAGCCGGAUUCUCUGAGCUCGUCGUCUCUGUGAUCCUCGUCUCUGCUGCCGUGCCGCUGCUGCUGCUAAUUCUGAUCCUCAUCUACAAGCGUAAGAGAUUUAUUAUCAACUUGCAGAACACACACACACACACACACACACACACACACACACACACACACACACGCACUUCUCCAUCCUGUACAGAUGUGAUGCCCUGAUAUGACAUUUUCAAGUGUAUCUUCACCUUUGCUCAUUUCCUGGAUCGUGGUGAGCAGAAAAUAUAACAUCAUGAACAAGCGUGAUUUAGUCAGUUCCUUCCUGGACGGCUGUAGCGCAGGGGCUGGUUGUGAACAGAGACUGUAUAUAAGAGUGUGUGAAGCCUGUAUUCUGUGUCCUGACCAGCAGAGGGCGACUCUAUGAGAACCUGAUUCCACGUUGAUGUCCACGUUGUACAUUAUGGUCCAUUUACAGUCACAAAGACCGUAAAGCAGAGGAUGUGUUGGGGGCGUGGCUACAGUGUGAUUGACAGCUGCGUGGUUGCAGGCUUUCGGUCAGGCCCCAUACUUCAGAGAAGAAACUGUGUCUUCACUUUAAUGAAAACUGUUCCUUCUUUCGUCUUUUAUCUCUUCUUUGUUCUCCACCUUCACUUUCUGUCAGGAUGUUC